rnacentral:rRNA from 1 species
GAAAGCUUGCUGCAUUGGGAUUUUGCCCCGGGCCUUGCCCUUGCAGACCAGGUGAGAAGGAAAUUUGGGUCCACUGUUCAUUUCUCUCCUUCCCGAGACGCCAAAGAUUUCUUUUUGGUCGUUUCCUUCUCCUCGGCCUCCUUUCCUCUUGAUGUUGAAACAGUGGGGAUUGCCUUGCAAUGCUGUCUUGGAGGGAUUUCUUCUGGCUUUAGGGUGUCUCAGAUUAAUGCCCGGUCCUGUCGCUUCUCUAUGGCUAAUAACAAAGUGGGACAUUUUGUCUAUGGUCUCAAAGGCCGUAUUUGGCCUGACUUUGUUUGCCAUUUCCAUCUGUUCAAUGGACGUUUUGCUAAAGCUCAUUCUAUUGAUCGUCAUUGGCAUGCUGAUACUGAGCUGGUUGAAAAAUCGUGGACCGGAAACCCAUUGCUCUAA